rnacentral:rRNA from 1 species
GACGAGCCACACGAACGUUAUUCGGAAUUACUGGGCUUAAAGGGUGCGUAGGCGGCGCGGAAAGUUGGGUGUGAAAUCCCUCGGCUCAACCGAGGAACUGCGCCCAAAACUACCGUGCUCGAGGAAGAUAGAGGUGAGCGGAACUUACGGUGGAGCGGUGAAAUGCGUUGAUAUCGUAAGGAACACCCGUGGCGAAAGCGGCUCACUGGACCACAACUGACGCUGAGGCGCGAAAGCUAGGGGAGCAAACAGG